GACAACAUGAGGUAGCAGUGGCAGACAACAUGAGGUAGCAGUGGCAGACAACAUUGUCAGUAUAGCUACUGAAUUCCCUAUACAUAUGCUUGUGUAAUAUGUUGUAGAUUGUAUCAUCCAUGUAUACAUUUAGGCUCCCUGCUCAGCUAGGCCCAGUGGCUAGCAUGUGUGACGUCAUGUGAUGCCACAUGUGAGCUUCAGACGCUCUGCCUCUCUCAGUUCACCGAUAGACCCAACAAGUGUGUUUAUCUCCAACCAUUAUAUUUCCACGGAACCCUCCCAACAAAUGGCGGCAACGGUGGUCGCGUAAAUCUGAUAUUUACGCAGAUGCACGGAAAUUAACUUCUACCAGCCGACAAACAUUGUGUUGACCGCAUGGCGGCCUAAACAGCCAGCUACCCCGCCCAAGCACUCAACAGCCUCUCUGCACUACUUCCUGGUUAUUCUUUGUGCUUUCUCUGCUUAAUUGCAUUACUUUCGAGGGGUUGACCCGAGUUUGCAAAUUAAGCCAGCAAGCCAGUCUGUGGGGGGAGACAAGCUCUAAGCCACCCAGCCUGACCCAGUCCUAGCCUAGCCUGCUAAGCCAGCUAUCCACCCUGCUGUGCUCGUCAGUACAAGUUCUCAAGCCAGUCUGUGUGAAGGGUUAAGCCAAGCAAGCCAGCCAUCUAACCCAGGUGACUAACCCCCAGUACUCAAGCUGUGAAAAUUUGUGUGGACUGCCUCCAAGUGAGUCACCUACCCUUGCAAACUCUGUUGACACCGAGCUCUGAGGUGGGUACCUCAGCCUCACAAGUGGCUUAUAGGACAGAUUUUCACAAAUGAUUGAUGUUGCAAGAAACUCGCCUGCAUGCACGUAUAAAGGACUAACUUACUUGGUGUUGCAGCAUAUAUCCUGAUCUUCAACUUCCCUAAGCUUAGCCUUAGCCCCUUUGGACUUUCCUUCAGAAACCAUGUGCAACCAGGAGCCUGAAUUCCUGCAAUAUUCAAUCGUUAUUAGUGUCCUGCCUGCACCUCAGAAAUUCCUAUAUCCAAAGGGUAUGUAUCCCCUAGUAUAACUAUGCAGACACUGACACUAGCUUCCAGACUGCUCUGAGACACUGGUACUUACUGGGCAUGCUCUGCCUGUUGCACACCGGGCCCACAGAUCAACUCGCUCACAAUCUCCCCAGACACUGGCCAGAAAUCUACGAGAUAAAAGUGGAGGUCUUGUCUUACUGUAUGGGCCAGACGGAGGUCAUCUACGGUACUUCGAGGUGCCUCUACCAAAUUUCCCCAGGUCUCAGAUGUGAAGACACGUGGGGGGGGCGCCGUCUGCUGAUCACGGCACGUCUUGUCCAGUUGGUGUCUGUCUUAAGAAGAACGAGCUGGUCUCUCUUCCAUAGCCUCGUCUCUUCGUUCAAACUAGGGCUGCCAGUUCUCCCUAGCUAACUUAUCCUAGUGUUUGCCUACAUUAUCGGCCUAUUACUACCCAUGUUAAGGUCUUAGGUCUACAUUAUUAUUAUCUACAGAUGCCUUAGUAAACCUAAUAUUAGUGUACUAACAGUAAAACUACCUACUCCUUCCCUGAAGAGUAAAUCUAUAAAUUAAAUAAAUGCCUACCAACAAUCCACCGCCAACUAAAGAGAAUGCUGUUUGUUUGGGAGGGUUUUAAGGGCCAUCCAGCUCAGCCGUUCCAUCACGACCAUGCUGGAUCUGUCCUGUGGAACUUUAGAGACCAAAUAAAUUUCCACACAAGCAAGCCACGUGAGUUCCAGCCUUCACCAUCGCUUUGUGCUCCCAGUUCAAAGCCAUCCUGAGUGCUUAUAACAUCCAUGUGGUAUUUUCUGGGUUUUUAAGAAAGCUUGGCUUAGAAUAUUCUCGUGCCUGUUUGGGUGUAAGCCAGAGCACGUGGGUAUGCCGAUCAUCCAGUCGGCCUAGCCACUCACUCAAUGACUCAGCGCUGCCUCGCUCACCCACACCUACCCACCACCAUUGUUUUUCACCCUUAAAUCGGGUCCUAGCACCCACAUAGUGGGUCAAGACUCAAGUGUGUUUCAUCAUCCCUGUGCGCCAACGACAAAAGCCUAGCUAUGUGGGGUGCUUGAGUUUAAGCGCAAAUUCUUCGAGACAUCGUGUUGAGAAGAGUGGACAGCGGCGCCAGUGACAAACAACAACCUUCCCCACCACCACCUUACCGCCACCCUCAUUUCUCCACUGACGUCGCUCCAAUGAUAAUGAUCUUUUUAUAGAGGCAUUUUACCCCAGCACAGCCAUCAGCAUCAGUGCUAGAGCCUCAACCAGUGAUUUACAAUCUUCCACUUUAACCCAGCAGGGACACACCAUCCCUCUCUACUCUUUUUCAAAAUCAUCAAUAAACACCAGCAAGGAAAAUUUAGGUGUUAGGUGAUGGCACGUGCUAGGAUCAAAUGGAUGUGUCACACCAAGAGGUGCCAACCGAGCCACUUGCAGGGUGUUGAUGCUGCUGGAGGAGAGCCAGGAAGUAUUACAGCUGCUGGAGCGGUUAUAGGGUCAUCAAGGUCAACUGAAGAUGAUGUCACAUCACCACUACCCAACCGGACAUCCAUUAUGAAUGGCACAAAUGCUUGAG